AUGGGUAUCUUCAGUGGAACGCCUCCUCCGAGCUGCCCAUCAGCUCCGCAUUGUGCGGAAUGGGCUAAAGUCUAUCUGAAGUACUGUCUGUGCAGUACAAAGGAUGGUGUUGCCCUGGGUCUUGGACUGGCUAGUGUCCUCAGUUGGGGUAUCGCCGAGGUGCCGCAGAUCAUAACAAAUUACAAACAGAAGUCAACAGAAGGCCUUUCUAUUGCCUUUCUGAUGACCUGGAUAGUUGGGGACUUGUUUAACCUUGUCGGCUGUUUCCUGGAACCUGCUACUCUGCCGACACAGUUUUACAUGGCAUUGCUAUAUACCAUCACAACUAUGAUUCUUACUGGACAGACAAUAUACUAUAGCCACAUCUACCAUCUUAAAGUAAAGAAAACUGGGACAACUGCCAAGUCUCAGAAACAUCAACGAGGGGAUGCUUCAUUGCGCGAAAAGCUUUUGGGACAUAGGGACGAGGCGUUCAAAAAUAAUAUUCAGUCAGGUCCGAUUAUUCCUAUCCCGAGCUCACCUAUCCAGGUGAACACAGAAGUAUUCCGGCAACUUCAUGGUUCAGUCAGCCCCGGCUCAGAUUACUACUAUGCGUCAGCAAGAUCUCUAUCGAGGAGCCCAGUGCCUACAGGUACAUGGUUGGGGAAUAAUCGCCAGGCAACAAAAGUUCCUCCACAAAUGAACGACGAAGGUGCAUCUUUAUUUGGCGAGUUUGUUCCAGCACAGUCUGCACCAGCUGCUAUUACAAAAGAUUCCCUCUCAGUGGUACCAUGGAUUUCUGUUGUCUUGGGCAUGUGUGUGUUGCAUAUUUUGGUUGGAACCGCGCAUAGGGACGCUUCCAAUGAAAUUAUCAUCCCUGUCGGCAGAAAGCUCUUAGUUGUAGCGGAUGACCAUGCAGGUUCAUCUCUGAACCAUGGCAGUGGAAGUGGAAUUGGAAGCUUUCUUGGUUGGGCCAUGGCAGUUAUCUAUAUGGGCGGACGACUUCCCCAGAUCUUCUUAAAUAUGCAAAGAGGCCAUGCCGAGGGGCUCAGUCCGCUAAUGUUUACCUUUGCUUUAGUGGGGAAUACGACAUAUGUUGGGAGUAUCCUUGUGAAUAGUUUGGACUGGGCACGACUUAGACCAAAUCUGCCGUGGCUUGUAGAUGCUGGAGGAUGCGUUUUGCUUGAUUCUUUCAUUAUUCUUCAGUUCCUUUAUUUUCAUUACCGGAAGCAAAGUGGGCGUGAUGAACUUGACAAUUUGGAUAAAGCCUAA
rnacentral:rRNA from 1 species